GUGGACGCGCCACUUGCCUUGCCAGGGAGCUUGAGGUCGCCGUGUCAGAAGCAAUGAGAAUGAGCACACACGAAAGGAGAGCCUUCCGUCCCGGGAAAGGCGUUUUAAGGAAGGGGACGCCCGGCCUCUCGCUCCGUCUGCUGGUGAGCAGAGGCUGUGCAAACCAUGAGGGGUGGAAGGGACCGGAGGAGAUGAGGAAGUCAGGGGUUUGGGUGCCUCCACCUGUCUUAAGUCACAUUUUAUAAAAUAAACGUUUUCUUGAAAUUGUAUCACAUCUUUGAUUUUAAAAAGCAAGGUAAGUAAUAAGCCUCUGCCUUUGAUAGGUCCCCCGAUCACAUUCCGUCUGAUCCUUUGUCUUUAGAGCUGAAAGCCGAGGCAUGCAGAGUGUCCAUUAAUGGGGGAACAGAUGAACAAAAUGGGGUCCAUACGAUAGAAUAUUCGUCAGCCUUACAAAGGAAGGCAGUUCUGGAGUUCCCGCCGUGGUGCAGUCCAUUGCGAUUGCGACUGCAGCGGUGGCUCAGGGCGCAGCAGAGGUGUGCGUGGGAUCCCUGGCCCGGUGCAGUGGCUUCAAGGAUCUGGCACUGCCGCAGCUGUGGCUCGGGUUCAGUCCUUGGCUGGGGAACUUCCAUGUGCUGUGGGUGUGGCCACUGAGAAGAAAAAGGAGAGAGAAGAUGUGGCGCAGCUACGAGCUGGAAAACCCUGAGGAGCCUGCUCGGUGAGAGGAGCCGGAUGCGAAAGGACAGCUGCUGUGGGAUGUCAUGCAAAGGAGGUCCCCAGAGUCGUCACAUUGGCGGAGACAGAAAAUAGAAUUAGAGGCUCCCAGGGGCUGGGCUGGGGGAUGUGUGUUGAGUUUGUCUGAGAAGAUGAAAAGGUUCUGGAGAUGCCAGUGGUGAAGUUUGCUCCGUGGACUUAAUGCCUCUGAGCUGUACACUCAGUGUUAAAAUGAGUGGACGGUUAAAAUGGCAACGUUUGUUAAGUGUAUUUUGCUACAAUUAAACGAAAUCCUAUAAAAGCAGGACCCCGGGGGGCAGCGCCAGUGACCACGAGGCCAGAACGUCUUUGAGACUCGGAAGUCGUUUCUGUCAUCUGGGGCCAGGAUGCUUGAGGAUUUUCUUCUUAUCUCCUCGGUCUGACAGAAACCCCAAUGAAUUUUUUCUCGGUUUUGUCCUUCUCUUGUUGCUCUGCCAGGUCACAGCACAUCCUGUCCUAGUGAAACCAGUAAGGUUCUUCGAACUGGAAAGAGGUCAUUGCAGGAAACCACCCCGCCAUCCAUCUUUCCAAGCAAAACGUGCUUGUGUCCGUAUCAGCUUUCUACAAACAUGUGCUUUUGUGAACACUGCGGUGGUUUUUUGUUCAUCUCUAAAAGUCUGGACGGUGUCAGGACUGUUUGGUCUUUCCCCCCGGCCAGUCUCUGCCCCUCUGAGACCUCUGUCCCCAGGACCUCUGCUAGUCCUGCUUGGCCGAUCUGCCCCACUGGCCUGCGGAGCCUGGGGGCCCCUCUGGUUCUGGUUCCGUUGACUCCUGAAGCUCCCUGCUGCCUCUUCUCCCCCUCGCAAGGAAGGGCAGGGCUGGGAGCAGCUCACCCUGUUGGAGGAGGUGCGGUGCAGACCCCUCCCGCACCAGGCAAGGCUGCAGUCACCCGGGGACCCCCAGCUUGCUGUCGGGAGGGGUCUGGAGGCCUUCCUGGUGGAGGAGGUGCACCUGAUUUCAUUUUCUCAGGCAGACGGUGUUGGGGAGACUGGUGCCGCUGGAUCUGCAGGUGGCCAGCUCUUCCCACGGGGGUUCUGUCUUGUCCUCCCUUGACUCUGACUUCCAGGCUUUUCCGGCCCUCGCAUCUGCUCUUCCCAGAGCUGGGGAGGUGGAGUGGCACUGACCCUGUCCAGAGCUGGGCCUGCCCGCUAGGGUGGGGGGUGCCCGUGGAGGGGGAGUACUGCCUGGGCUGCGGACGCUGGGGAGGGAGGAGGAAGUGGUUCCCAAGGGAACGGGGGCUGGGGAACCUAGUGAGAAGCAGUGGGGCCGUCCCAGCAAGUUGCAGGAGUCAGUGCGAUGGAAUCCAGAGUGGGAGAAGGGACCCCAUCGGGGAGACACGUCAACUGGUGCACGGGCGGAGGGCAGCAGCAAUGAGGGCCCUCCUGCCCGAAGGACUGAGAUGCAGGCAUGCAGAGGACGGUGGGGAUGCAGGAACACGCCCGGGGGAUGAACAGGACUUAGGAUUAAGAGUAAGCCCUUAGCUGCUCUGUCAUAAGGACGGGGUGGUCCCUUGGAGGUCGGGGCCAGGUGAGCAGCUCUGGGAGGCAGAUGCUGAUGAGACAGGUGGAUGCAUAAGUAGGCGAGUGAAUUAUCCGUGGGUGGACACAUCGAUGAAGCUAGAAAAGCCCAGGCCGUGAAGGCCUCCCAAGGAGCUUGCUGGCGUGGAAAGCCGUUGGAGGCGUUUGCAGAGGAGGGCGGCAAAGGGAUCUGUCGGCGCGAAAGGUCCUCUGGCUCCACGGGGUAGGAGGCUGGUGGAGACUUGAAGCCCGGCUGAAAGGUCGUUGCGGUGAGAGUUGGUUCGUCGCGUCCUGCGAGGAGGCGAGCGAGGCCUCCGUUAUCUGUUUGGGGUGAGAGGGCGACCCCAGGACCACGGCCAGGGCAGCCCCUUCCAUGGGGGUGGGGGAGAGGCGGAGGGUCAGGUUCAGGAAGGGGGAGGGAUCGUCGUGGCUGUCCCAGCGCCUGCAGGCUUGGUGGCCCCCAUCUGCAGACGCCUCUCCUGGCCCCCAGAGGCCCCUCGGGGCCCACGCCCCUGCCUGCAGCCCCAGGCCUUAGCUCAGGCGCCUCCCUCGCUGGUGUUGGAAGGUGGACGAACUAGGGGACGCAGCUGGAUCGGGCAAACCGCACCCCCCGGCCCAUCAGAGGCAGAUCGGGGUCCCUUGAACGGGCAGGUCCAUGUGGAGAAGCUUCCAGAGCCAGGUGGCGUGUCUGACCUUUGGCCCAAGCCCGGGCCAUGUGCCAGGCAGGCUCUGGGCCCCUUCCUGCAGGCCUCGGCCUGCUCCCCGCUGGGGCACUUGUUUGAGGGGACCCCUCGCUCAGGACAAGUGGCAGCAACGUGAGUGCAGGCCUCGCCGCAGAGGAAGCUGCCGUGGAUGGAGCAUGGCCGCCUUCCUCCCCAGGCGAGGGGUUUGCCCAUAAACCAGAGGCGCACUCUUACGACACAUCCGCAGGGAAGUGGGUCAAGUGUCCCCAGGACCGUCGCAGAGGCCGAGGAGAGGGCGCCAUCGGGGCCACGCGGGGCAUCUUCCUCCCGCGCUAAGGGCGGGCGCAGAGCUGUUUUGUUUUCCUGUGGGGGAUGCGUUUCCUUCCCCAGGAUUCGUCACCCCUCCCCAGGGGCGAGCCCUGCGGUCGCCGGACACAGACACGCAUCCUCUGCUCUGUCCUGGUCCUUGCUGUCCCCUGGGCGUCCCCCUGCUCCUUCCCUGUGGUUGAAGGAGAAGGUGGUCCGUCCCUCUGGGCAAACAGUUGCCUUUGACCUGGUGUGCGUCUGUGGCCUGUCCCCCUCGGAGUCGCCCCAGGCUUCUGGAGGGGCCAGGGGUGUGCAGCCUCCACGUCGAGGUGAGGGAGGCCCGGAUGGACGGGCUGGGUCAGGGAGGAGGCGGGAGAAGAACGUCAGAUGCUGGGGGGUGAGGGCUGAUGGGCCGGGUGGGGGUCUGCCUUUCGGGGUCAGGAAGUGGUGGGGCCCUUCCAGAAACCGAGUCCAGUGAAAUCCAGUGCUGUGGCCAGAAAGAGGACCUGCUCGAGUCUCACCGCUAUUCCAGAAACGUCUUUGCUUCCAUAAACACCUCUGUAGAGACGACCCGUGACCUACACCACAGCACGCGGCAAUGCCGGAUCCUUAACCCACUGAGCAAGACCAGGGAUCAAACCUUCAUCCUCUUGGAUACCAGUCGGGUUUGUUUCUGCUGUGCCACGACGGGAACUCCAAAAACUUUGCUUCUUCAACUUUGCUUAUCUUGUGUCAAAGGAAUUUGUUUUCUCCAUAUACGUGUCCCACAGAUGUGGUACCAUGGUUGAUGCCCCGGGGAAGUUGUCCCUGGGGCCAGUCGUGGUGUAAGUGGAAUGAUAAUUCUCCUCUAAAUGACUCCACGUUUAUGUCAAAGGAUAAAGCAGGCAUCCCCACUGUGGCGCAGCGGGUCAAGAAUCCGACUGCAGUGGCUCAGGUCCCUGUGGUGGCGGGGGCUCGAUCCCUGGCCUAGUGCAGUGGGUUAAAGGAUCCAGGGUUGCCCCAGCUGCGGCCGGAUUGAAUCUCUGGCCUGGAAACGUCUCUGUGCUGCGGGUGUGGCCAUAAAAAGAAAAGAAAAAAAA
rnacentral:lncRNA from 1 species